AGUAAAACUCUACUUUUGAACAUUUUCUUCCAAAGAGACAUGAAUGGAAGAAGCUCCUCCAAAGCUAAUAGCUGCCUUCUUAUUUUCUGCAGUUGUCAAAUCAGAUGGAGAUCAAGCCAAUAAAGUGGUCUUCGGUGACCCCUGCCAAAGGGGUGGCAACAUACAGGUUGAGAAUGCUGCCCUAAAUGAUCUGGAACCACCUCAGCCACUCUACCUAAGAAUCGUUCUUGAGUGGACCCAACACUGGACUUCAGGCAUCACACAGUGCAUCCCAAACUGGUCAAGCUAGGUUGACAGCGAACAGAGACCGGAAUGUUCACUCAGUAGGUAGACCAGACACUCAUACUCAAAGGCACAAGCAAUGAGAGAUGGGCUUGGAGUGAACAUUUGUUCAGCUGAAGUGUGAGGGGAUGAAGUUUAUUUCAGACCGAACUCCCCAGCCGAUCACACAUUUCCUGUUUAAUUGGCAUCAAUUCCACUGCAAAAGAAGCUUUCAAGUCCAUAACGGCCAGGGGCAGCUCAGAUCAUGAACUUCCACAUGGUUUCCGGUAGCAGCAUGGACCACAUAGCCACACGGACUCCAGUGGCAGUUUGGAACACAGACCUCAAACAUGGCCCCCAGUGACAGCACAGAUCACAGACCUUAACAUGGCUUCUAGUGACGACAUGGACUGUGGAUGUCAACAUGAUCUCCUGUGGUAGCCCUGAUCAUGGACAUCAACAUGGGCUCUGGUGGCAGCACUGAUCACGGACAUUGACAUUUGGUCCCAGCUUAGAUUUGGGACAAAGUCUUUCUGUGUAGGUUCACUGGCCUAAAACCCACUUAUUUAGGCCAGGCUGGUUUCUUUUUAUAAUUUAUUUUCAUU
rnacentral:sRNA from 1 species